AAUCGUACCCCAAACCGACACAGGUGGUCAGGUAGAGAAUACCAAGGCGCUUGAGAGAACUCGGGUGAAGGAACUAGGCAAAAUGGUGCCGUAACUUCGGGAGAAGGCACGCUGGUGUGUAGGUGAAGUCCCUGCGGAUGGAGCUGAGACCAGUCGAAGAUACCAGCUGGCUGCAACUGUUUAUUAAAAACACAGCACUGUGCAAACACGAAAGUGGACGUAUACGGUGUGACGCCUGCCCGGUGCCGGAAGGUUAAUUGAUGGGGUUAUCCGUAAGGAGAAGCUCUUGAUCGAAGCCCCGGUAAACGGCGGCCGUAACUAUAACGGUCCUAAGGUAGCGAAAUUCCUUGUCGGGUAAGUUCCGACCUGCACGAAUGGCGUAAUGAUGGCCAGGCUGUCUCCACCCGAGACUCAGUGAAAUUGAACUCGCUGUGAAGAUGCAGUGUACCCGCGGCAAGACGGAAAGACCCCGUGAACCUUUACUAUAGCUUGACACUGAACAUUGAGCCUUGAUGUGUAGGAUAGGUGGGAGGCUUUGAAGCGUGGACGCCAGUCUGCGUGGAGCCAACCUUGAAAUACCACCCUUUAAUGUUUGAUGUUCUAACGUUGGCCCCUUACCGGGGUUGCGGACAGUGUCUGGUGGGUAGUUUGACUGGGGCGGUCUCCUCCCAAAGCGUAACGGAGGAGCACGAAGGUUAGCUAAUCCUGGUCGGACAUCAGGAGGUUAGUGCAAUGGCAUAAGCUAGCUUGACUGCGAGCGUGACGGCGCGAGCAGGUGCGAAAGCAGGUCAUAGUGAUCCGGUGGUUCUGAAUGGAAGGGCCAUCGCUCAACGGAUAAAAGGUACUCCGGGGAUAACAGGCUGAUACCGCCCAAGAGUUCAUAUCGACGGCGGUGUUUGGCACCUCGAUGUCGGCUCAUCACAUCCUGGGGCUGAAGUAGGUCCCAAGGGUAUGGCUGUUCGCCAUUUAAAGUGGUACGCGAGCUGGGUUUAGAACGUCGUGAGACAGUUCGGUCCCUAUCUGCCGUGGGCGCUGGAGAAUUGAGGGGGGCUGCUCCUAGUACGAGAGGACCGGAGUGGACGCAUCACUGGUGUUCGGGUUGUCAUGCCAAUGGCACUGCCCGGUAGCUAAAUGCGGAAGAGAUAAGUGCUGAAAGCAUCUAAGCACGAAACUUGCCCCGAGAUGAGUUCUCCCUGAGACUUUAAGUCUCCUGAAGGAACGUUGAAGACGACGACGUUGAUAGGCCGGGUGUGUAAGCGCAGCGAUGCGUUGAGCUAACCGGUACUAAUGAACCGUGAGGCUUAACCUUACAACGCCGAAG
rnacentral:rRNA from 1 species